GUGAAAUUCCGUCGGAAUCUGGGAGGACCAUCUCCUAAGGCUAAAUACUCUCUAGUGACCGAUAGUGAACCAGUACCGUGAGGGAAAGGUGAAAAGCACCCCGGAAGGGGAGUGAAAUAGAACCUGAAACCGUGUGCUUACAAGUAGUCAGAGCCCGUUAAUGGGUGAUGGCGUGCCUUUUGUAGAAUGAACCGGCGAGUUACGAUUUGAUGCAAGGUUAAGCAGUAAAUGUGGAGCCGUAGCGAAAGCGAGUCUGAAUAGGGCGUUUAGUAUUUGGUCGUAGACCCGAAACCAGGUGAUCUACCCUUGGUCAGGUUGAAGUUCAGGUAACACUGAAUGGAGGACCGAACCGACUUACGUUGAAAAGUGAGCGGAUGAACUGAGGGUAGCGGAGAAAUUCCAAUCGAACCUGGAGAUAGCUGGUUCUCUCCGAAAUAGCUUUAGGGCUAGCCUCAAGUGAUGAUUAUUGGAGGUAGAGCACUGUUUGGACGAGGGGCCCCUCUCGGGUUACCGAAUUCAGACAAACUCCGAAUGCCAAUUAAUUUAACUUGGGAGUCAGAA
rnacentral:rRNA from 1 species